rnacentral:rRNA from 1 species
UCACUCUAUUUUUAGCUGCAGNACCUGUUCCCAUGCCGAACACAGAAGUUAAGCUCCUUAGCGUCGAUGGUAGUCGAACUUACGUUCCGCUAGAGUAGAACGUUGCCAGGCA